rnacentral:rRNA from 1 species
UUAGUGGCGGACGGGUGAGUAACGCGUGGAUAACCUGCCGUAUACAGGGGGAUAACACUUAGAAAUAGGUGCUAAUACCGCAUAAGCGCAAGGUUCCGCAUGGAACAGUGUGAAAAACUCCGGUGGUAUACGAUGGAUCCGCGUCUGAUUAGCCAGUUGGCGGGGUAACGGCCCACCAAAGCGACGAUCAGUAGCCGGCCUGAGAGGGUGAACGGCCACAUUGGGACUGAGACACGGCCCAAACUCCUACGGGAGGCAGCAG